CUGUGAGGGGAAUGAUGUACUACUACAGGGCUCUCAAGAUGCUUGCUUUUCUUGAUAAUGCAUCUGAAGUAGAAAUUACAG
rnacentral:snoRNA from 17 species